AGCACAUUGGCGCAGCGGUUAGCGUGCUGGGCCCAUAACCCAGUGGUCGCCGGAUCGAAACCGGCAUGUGCUA
rnacentral:tRNA from 1 species